ACAAGCGGUGGAGUAUGUGGUUUAAUUCGAUGCAACGCGAAGAACCUUACCUGGUCUUGACAUCCCGGAGACCCUUAGGAAACUAGGGGGUGCUUCCAUCUGGAAGAAUCUGGAGACAGGUGCUGCAUGGCUGUCGUCAGCUCGUGUCGUGAGAUGUUGGGUUAAGUCCCGCAACGAGCGCAACCCUUGCCUUUAGUUGCCAGCAGUUCGGCUGGGCACUCUAAAGGGACUGCCGGUGUUAAACCGGAGGAAGUGGGGAUGACGUCAAGUCCUCAUGGCCUUUAUGACCAGGGCUACACACGUACUACAAUGGCCGAUACAAAGGGCAGCGACACUGCGAGGUGAAGCCAAUCCCGUAAAAUCGGUCUCAGUCCGGAUUGGAGUCUGCAACUCGACUCCAUGAAGUUGGAAUCGCUAGUAAUCGUGGAUCAGCAUGCCACGGUGAAUACGUUCCCGGGCCUU
rnacentral:rRNA from 1 species